rnacentral:rRNA from 1 species
AUUGAACGCUGGCGGCAUGCCUUACACAUGCAAGUCGAACGGUAGCAGGUUAAGCUGCCGAGUGGCGAACGGGUGAGUAAUGUAUCGGAACGUGCCCAGUCGUGGGGGAUAACUGCUCGAAAGAGCAGCUAAUACCGCAUACGACCUGAGGGUGAAAGCGGGGGAUCGCAAGACCUCGCGCGAUUGGAGCGGCCGAUAUCAGAUUAGGUAGUUGGUGAGGUAAAGGCUCACCAAGCCGACGAUCUGUAGCUGGUCUAAGAGGACGACCAGCCACACUGGGACUGAGACACGGCCCAGACUCCUACGGGAGGCAGCAGUGGGGAAUUUUGGACAAUGGGCGCAAGCCUGAUCCAGCCAUGCCGCGUGCGGGAAGAAGGCCUUCGGGUUGUAAACCGCUUUUGUCAGGGAAGAAAAGGUUCUGGCUAAUACCUGGGACUCAUGACGGUACCUGAAGAAUAAGCACCGGCUAACUACGUG